GUCGACGCUUCUUUUCCCACCGGAGCUUGCUCCACCGGGAAAAGAGGAGUGGCGAACGGGUGAGUAACACGUGGGUAACCUGCCCAUCAGAAGGGGAUAACACUUGGAAACAGGUGCUAAUACCGUAUAACAAUCGAAACCGCAUGGUUUCGUUUUGAAAGGCGCUUUACGGUGCCGCUGAUGGAUGGACCCGCGGUGCAUUAGCUAGUUGGUGAGGUAACGGCUCACCAAGGCCACGAUGCAUAGCCGACCUGAGAGGGUGAUCGGCCACAUUGGGACUGAGACACGGCCCAAACUCCUACGGGAGGCAGCAGUAGGGAAUCUUCGGCAAUGGACGAAAGUCUGACCGAGCAACGCCGCGUGAGUGAAGAAGGUUUUCGGAUCGUAAAACUCUGUUGUUAGAGAAGAACAAGGGUGAGAGUAACUGUUCACCCCUUGACGGUAUCUAACCAGAAAGCCACGGCUAACUACGUGCCAGCAGCCGCGGUAAUACGUAGGUGGCAAGCGUUGUCCGGAUUUAUUGGGCGUAAAGCGAGCGCAGGCGGUUUCUUAAGUCUGAUGUGAAAGCCCCCGGCUCAACCGGGGAGGGUCAUUGGAAACUGGGAGACUUGAGUGCAGAAGAGGAGAGUGGAAUUCCAUGUGUAGCGGUGAAAUGCGUAGAUAUAUGGAGGAACACCAGUGGCGAAGGCGGCUCUCUGGUCUGUAACUGACGCUGAGGCUCGAAAGCGUGGGGAGCAAACAGGAUUAGAUACCCUGGUAGUCCACGCCGUAAACGAUGAGUGCUAAGUGUUGGAGGGUUUCCGCCCUUCAGUGCUGCAGCUAACGCAUUAAGCACUCCGCCUGGGGAGUACGACCGCAAGGUUGAAACUCAAAGGAAUUGACGGGGGCCCGCACAAGCGGUGGAGCAUGUGGUUUAAUUCGAAGCAACGCGAAGAACCUUACCAGGUCUUGACAUCCUUUGACCACUCUAGAGAUAGAGCUUCCCCUUCGGGGGCAAAGUGACAGGUGGUGCAUGGUUGUCGUCAGCUCGUGUCGUGAGAUGUUGGGUUAAGUCCCGCAACGAGCGCAACCCUUAUUGUUAGUUGCCAUCAUUUAGUUGGGCACUCUAGCAAGACUGCCGGUGACAAACCGGAGGAAGGUGGGGAUGACGUCAAAUCAUCAUGCCCCUUAUGACCUGGGCUACACACGUGCUACAAUGGGAAGUACAACGAGUCGCGAAGUCGCGAGGCUAAGCUAAUCUCUUAAAGCUUCUCUCAGUUCGGAUUGUAGGCUGCAACUCGCCUACAUGAAGCCGGAAUCGCUAGUAAUCGCGGAUCAGCACGCCGCGGUGAAUACGUUCCCGGGCCUUGUACACACCGCCCGUCACACCACGAGAGUUUGUAACACCCGAAGUCGGUGAGGUAACCUUUUG
rnacentral:rRNA from 1 species